GCAAUCGUAGUGUAGCGGUUAUCAUCCCAGCCUUCCAUCAUUGCGACAGCUGGGGACUCGGGUUCGACUCCCGGCGAUUGCA
rnacentral:tRNA from 1 species